rnacentral:piRNA from 1 species
UGGCUUCUGGGUGUUUAUUACUGAAGUA